rnacentral:rRNA from 1 species
AUUGAACGCUGGCGGCAGGCCUAACACAUGCAAGUCGAGGGGCGGAAGUUGCUUGCAACUUUGAGACCGGCGCACGGGUGCGUAACGCGUAUGCAAUCUGCCUUGUACUGAGGGAUAGCCCAGAGAAAUUUGGAUUAAUACCUCAUAGCAUUAUGAAAUCGCAUGGUUUUAUAAUUAAAGUUCCAACGGUACAAGAUGAGCAUGCGUCCCAUUAGUUAGUUGGUAAGGUAACGGCUUACCAAGACGAUGAUGGGUAGGGGUCCUGAGAGGGAGGUCCCCCAAACCGGUACUGGGACACGGACCAGACUCCUACGGGAGGCAGCAGUGAGGAAUAUUGGUCAAUGGGCGCAAGCCUGAACCAGCCAUGCCGCGUGCAGGAUGAAGCAUCUAUGGUGUGUAAACUGCUUUUAUACGGGAAGAAACACUCCUACGUGUAGGAACUUGACGGUACCGUAAGAAUAAGGAUCGGCUAACUCCGUGCCAGCAGCCGCCGUAAAAC